UCCGAAGUUUCAGCGACUUGUUACCCC
rnacentral:piRNA from 1 species